UGUAUAAUGGGUCAGCGACUUAUAUUCUGUAGCAAGGUUAACCGAAUAGGGGAGCCGAAGGGAAACCGAGUCUUAACUGGGCGUUAAGUUGCAGGGUAUAGACCCGAAACCCGGUGAUCUAGCCAUGGGCAGGUUGAAGGUUGGGUAACACUAACUGGAGGACCGAACCGACUAAUGUUGAAAAAUUAGCGGAUGACUUGUGGCUGGGGGUGAAAGGCCAAUCAAACCGGGAGAUAGCUGGUUCUCCCCGAAAGCUAUUUAGGUAGCGCCUCGUGAAUUCAUCUCCGGGGGUAGAGCACUGUUUCGGCAAGGGGGUCAUCCCGACUUACCAACCCGAUGCAAACUGCGAAUACCGGAGAAUGUUAUCACGGGAGACACACGGCGGGUGCUAACGUCCGUCGUGAAGAGGGAAACAACCCAGACCGCCAGCUAAGGUCCCAAAGUCAUGGUUAAGUGGGAAACGAUGUGGGAAGGCCCAGACAGCCAGGAUGUUGGCUUAGAAGCAGCCAUCAUUUAAAGAAAGCGUAAUAGCUCACUGGUCGAGUCGGCCUGCGCGGAAGAUGUAACGGGGCUAAACCAUGCACCGAAGCUGCGGCAGCGACGCUGAUGCGUUGUUGGGUAGGGGAGCGUUCUGUAAGCCUGCGAAGGUGUGCUGUGAGGCAUGCUGGAGGUAUCAGAAGUGCGAAUGCUGACAUAAGUAACGAUAAAGCGGGUGAAAAGCCCGCUCGCCGGAAGACCAAGGGUUCCUGUCCAACGUUAAUCGGGGCAGGGUGAGUCGACCCCUAAGGCGAGGCCGAAAGGCGUAGUCGAUGGGAAACAGGUUAAUAUUCCUGUACUUGGUGUUACUGCGAAGGGGGGACGGAGAAGGCUAUGUUGGCCGGGCGACGGUUGUCCCGGUUUAAGCGUGUAGGCUGGUUUUCCAGGCAAAUCCGGAAAAUCAAGGCUGAGGCGUGAUGACGAGGCACUACGGUGCUGAAGCAACAAAUGCCCUGCUUCCAGGAAAAGCCUCUAAGCAUCAGGUAACAUCAAAUCGUACCCCAAACCGACACAGGUGGUCAGGUAGAGAAUACCAAGGCGCUUGAGAGAACUCGGGUGAAGGAACUAGGCAAAAUGGUGCCGUAACUUCGGGAGAAGGCACGCUGAUAUGUAGGUGAGGUCCCUCGCG
rnacentral:rRNA from 1 species